GAAUUGACGGGGGCCCGCACAAGCGGUGGAGCAUGUGGUUUAAUUCGAUGCAACGCGAAGAACCUUACCUGGUCUUGACAUCCACGGAAGUUUUCAGAGAUGAGAAUGUGCCUUCGGGAACCGUGAGACAGGUGCUGCAUGGCUGUCGUCAGCUCGUGUUGUGAAAUGUUGGGUUAAGUCCCGCAACGAGCGCAACCCUUAUCCUUUGUUGCCAGCGGUCCGGCCGGGAACUCAAAGGAGACUGCCAGUGAUAAACUGGAGGAAGGUGGGGAUGACGUCAAGUCAUCAUGGCCCUUACGACCAGGGCUACACACGUGCUACAAUGGCGCAUACAAAGAGAAGC
rnacentral:rRNA from 1 species